UCUGGAGAAAUGGAUGGAAAUGGGGGAGAGAAAGAAAGCAGACAGUGUGUGUAUGGACAGAGUACAUUAAAUACUCAUAUGCAAAUGUCUUUAUGUCAUCAACCGCAAAGUACAAUAAGUACAUCACAAUAAAAAUUUAUAAUAGGCUUCCUCCACUGGGUACCAGCUCUGCUGAAAGCAAACAGUGCCAUUACCAGUACCAGAACUAGAACCAGAACCAGAACCAGAACCAGAACCAGAACCAGAACCAGAACCAGACCUGGGUUACCAGGAUAUGUGCAGGGAAUGCCAUGCCAUCUGCCUCUUCUUGGAGUACACAGAUUAAAGCUAACAGGAGAAGAAGUGUACUAUGGGGAAUGCUCCCACAGGAGCUGGGGACUACAUUCAUGCUGGGCCUGGGCUUUCCAAUUACUCUUCUUCAUUGGCAGAUGACACAAGAUCACAAGAGGGCUGCCAUCCUGAACUCCAUUGCCCACAAACACAACCUGUGUGGAAAGACAGAGGAGGAGAUUCAUGUGGGCAGUAUGGAAAAAUCAAGUUAUGGACACCUACAUGAAUCUUAUGUUCUGUGACAAAGUUGAAUGUGAGAAGAAGCCAGAGUACUUACUGGAUCUCCCUGCAAGGAUGAAGUUCUGUUUCAGAUUCCUGAGGAAGCAGCCACAGAUGCUGUGAUGAGACAACCUUUGUGGAUUAACUUAACUAUGACUGUUUUGUCUUGACCAGGAACAUGGUUAAACUGAAAUUCCUAGACAUAUUCCUAACCCCUGAAGGACUUAAUGGCCCUCUUUGGAGGAUUAUAGAAGAUCUUUACACACAUGAAAUACAGCCACUUCUUUUCAGUCUUUCUGUAUUUGAAGACAACCCUAUGGGAUAAUCAUGAGACCCUGUAAUACCAAGCAGGAGGAGAAAUCCUUGACUAUGCUUGCUCGCCCUUGUAGGGCACAGUUGGGUCCCUGCAUCCCUGGACACAAGUCUCUGGACAAAAUGACUAUGGCAGAAAUAUCAAGUAAAGAGUGAUGUUUGUGCUAAGAAAAUAGAUAUCUUCCAGGAAAGAGAGGAGGUAAAGAAGACUUUGUGACAUCAGCUGUUCUUGGAUCUCAAGCUUGCUGGCCUUCAGCCUAGAACUUCACUGUUCUGAUCCUCCUUUCAGCUCACCCACAGCACUGACCUGUGUCCACCGUCCACCCUGCAAGAGAGCUGCUAGAAUCAAGAGCAUGGUUAUCAGUGAAGAUCAAAGACUCAUCUUUUGGGUUUGUUGGUGUUCCCACUUGCCAACUAUCUUGAAAAUUGUAUUUCUGGUCAUUUUGGAUCUUUGAAUUCUGACUGGAUAGUGUCAUGAUACUUGAGAAGGCUGUGAGAACUAUGUUAAUCAUAGGCCUACUAAACUGUCUUAUGGGGUUAUGCUACGUGUUCCUUACAAGCAUGCUACAAGCUGAUCCAAAAUUUCCAAUACUACCUAGAGAUUUUCAGGAAAGAGGGAUACAUCAGUAUAUAUUAGUAUAACCCUCAGAAGCCUUAAAGCAAAUCUCACCUUCUAAAAAUAGCUUAAACUGCCUUCAUGAAAGAUUAUAGAAACUGAUUCAAAUGGGACGAGGAAUAUGCCCCUAACUCUGAGGAUGGAAUUCCAGUCCCCACUUCAUCUGAUCCCCAUUACAGCUGACCCACAACACCAACCUGUGCCCACCAUCCACCCUGCAAGAGUGCUGCUAGAAUCAACAGCAUGGUUAUCAGUGAAGAUCAGAGACUCAUCUUUGGGGCCUACUGGUGUUCGCAUUUGCCAACUACCUUGAAAAUUGUCAUUCUUCAUAAUUGAAUGAGCCAAUUCAUUAUAAAGUCAUUAUCUAUAUAUCAUAUCUAUCUAUCUAUCUAUCUAUCUAUCUAUCUAUCUAUCUAUCUAUCUAUCUAUCUAUCUGUCAUCUACCUAUAAUCUACCUAUCCCUGUCUCCACCUUAAUGAUUCUAUUCUUCACCAAACACCUAGGUAAUAUAAGGCUAUUUGUCUUCUCUGUUGUUGCCCUCUCUUGUUCUCUCCUUCUCACAAAAAAAAUCUUCUAUCAUCAGAUUUUUGGUGAAGGCAAUUGAGCAUUGAUGACCUUUGUGUUCAUUUCAAAGAACCACGACACAGUCCACAAACUGGGAAUAAAUGCAAUAGAACUUUUUUCUCCCCCAGUAUGGAGUUCAAAUAGGUUUUAGCAACACCAAACCCUUUCUAACAGCUUUAGGGAAAGAUUUAUUCUUGCUUCUUUCAGCCUUUCGCAAACUCUAAACGCCUUGAUUUUCUGUCUCUCAGCCUCUUUCCUCCAGUUUCUGCCUUCACCUUCAUAUGGUUAUCUUUCCUUUCCUUGUGUCUUUGUGUCUCUGGUUUCUCUUCUAAGGAUACCUACCAGUCUUUGAACAUAGUUAAGUAUGAGCUCUUCUUAGCAAGCUACAUCUGAAAAAUCCUUAUUUCCCAAUGAAUCUACAUUAUGAGCUUCUGGAUUAACAUUGGUUGGGGAUAGGGGUCGGCAUUAAUCAACUCGGUGAAGCUUUCCUUCUAAGACUCAGCUAUCAAAAGACAAAAAUCUAACAACUCCUUCAGGUCAUUUCUAGUCGAUGCCAGACCUAUCACUCAUACACGUACACUGUGGCGCACAGAACCAACUGUCCAUGUGCUUGAACACAGAGGAGGAAGAAGAGGAUAAAAUAAAGAGAAAUAAUAAAUGUUGUUUUAAAACAAUUUUCAAUAUAGUUGCAAGAAAUUCCUAUUAGAAAUGACCAUUCAGUAAAGUACUUAUAUUGGUUUGCUCAAGUGAUUUGCCACUUCAAGAUCUCCUAUGGUAGAAAGGGGUCAUACUAGUCUACCUUUAGUUCUAAAGACACAUUCCAGGUUAUAGAACAACACAGAUGAGCGUGAAAGUUGCAGAAACUGCCUAAUGUCUUGCUUCUAGCCCACCCUUCAUUCAAUCUGCUGUAGCUCUGAUGUUGUAUGCUUUGGCAACCAAAAAUUCUCAGCGAGAAAAGUCAACGUUCCUCAGAGAAUGCCAAUUAUUUUCUUGCCAAUGUAAUUCACUUCCAGUUUUUAUUCUAUUCAUAACUCAUGGUUUGUGGUGAGUACCAAAAAGAUAAGGAAAGAAAAGGCAUUGCAUAUGACUUUUGAAGUCAUUUUGGGUACUUGAAGGAGGUAGAGGGUUGUCCCACCAAAACGAGCUCACUUCUUGGUAUAGGUCUAUAAGUGUGAAAGAUGCAAACCUACUCCCAUUCCCAAAGUCUACCUUCCUCAGUCCUCAAAAAUGAAAAAUAUAAAUCUAACUAUAGAGCAAUAACCCCAUUUAUAUGCUACAAGUAAUGCCAUAUGACAUCAUUAGUCUUAUAUCUUAGCAUUACACACACACAUCUGCUGAGCUUAUAAGACCAGGCCAUCAGACCUAGACUGUACAGUACACUGUAAAGGCACAUAAAAACUCCCUUCUCUGUGGGUCUUUGAGAACCUGUAAAAGCAUAGAGCACACAGCAUGCAAAGCAUAAGGAAAGUGUCACAGCCAAAAGGAGCCCACGAAGACAUGGCAAAUAAGUAGAACUCAGAAAACUCAAUGGCAAGAUAUAAUCUAAAGAUAACCUUAGGUCAAAAAUUAUAAAGCUUGAGUAAAUUGUGGCAAUCAGCACUGGUGUUCCAGUGUUGGUUCACUACUUGUAACAAAUAUACCAUAGUCACACCAGAUAUUAAUAACAGAGAACAACAGCUGAGUUCUUGGGAAUUCUGAACUACCUUUGCAAGCUUGAACUAGAUCAAUUACUACUGUCUUAGGACUUCUCAUACUGUGGAGAGACACUAUGAUCACAGCAACUUUUAUAAAAGAAAACAUUUACUUGGCACCUGUUUACUGUUUCAGAGGUUUAGUCCAUUGUCAUCAUGACAGGAAACAUGGUGGCACGCAGGCAGACAUGACGCUGGAGAAGGAACUGAGAGUUCUCCUUCUUGAUCUUCAGGCAGCAGAAGACUAUGUAUCAUACUGAUCAACCCUGAGCAUAUGAGAACACAAAGCCUGCCUUGACAAUGACGCACUCCCUCCAACAAGGUCCAUACCUACACCACAAAGCCACACCUCCUAGUAGUGACACUCCCUAUGGUCCUAUGGGGGCCAUUGUAUU